rnacentral:rRNA from 1 species
GAUGAACGCUGGCGGCGUGCCUAAUACAUGCAAGUCGAGCGAACCACUUCGGUGGUGAGCGGCGAACGGGUGAGUAACACGUAGGUGAUCUGCCCAUCAGACGGGGACAACGAUUGGAAACGAUCGCUAAUACCGGAUAGGACGAAAGUUUAAAGGUGCUUCUGGCACCGCUGAUGGAUGAGCCUGCGGCGCAUUAGCUAGUUGGUAGGGUAAAGGCCUACCAAGGCGACGAUGCGUAGCCGACCUGAGAGGGUGAACGGCCACACUGGGACUGAGACACGGCCCAGACUCCGACGGGAGGCAGAAGUAGGGAAUCUUCGGCAAUGGGCGAAAGCCUGACCGAGCAACGCCGCGUGAAUGAUGAAGGCCUUCGGGUUGUAAAAUUCUGUUAUAAGGGAAGAACGACUUUAGUAGGAAAUGGCUAGAGUGUGACGGUACCUUAUGAGAAAGCCACGGCUAACUACGUGCCAGCCGCCGCCGUAACAC